UGGGGAAUAUUGGACAAUGGGCGCAAGCCUGAUCCAGCCAUGCCGCGUGUGUGAAGAAGGCCUUUUGGUUGUAAAGCACUUUAAGCGAGGAGGAGGCUACUUGGAUUAAUACUCUAGGAUAGUGGACGUUACUCGCAGAAUAAGCACCGGCUAACUCUGUGCCAGCAGCCGCGGUAAUACAGAGGGUGCGAGCGUUAAUCGGAUUUACUGGGCGUAAAGCGUGCGUAGGCGGCUUCUUAAGUCGGAUGUGAAAUCCCUGAGCUUAACUUAGGAAUUGCAUUCGAUACUGGGAAGCUAGAGUAUGGGAGAGGAUGGUAGAAUUCCAGGUGUAGCGGUGAAAUGCGUAGAGAUCUGGAGGAAUACCGAUGGCGAAGGCAGCCAUCUGACCUAAUACUGACGCUGAGGUACGAAAGCAUGGGGAGCAAACAGG
rnacentral:rRNA from 2 species